rnacentral:rRNA from 1 species
CUACGUGCCAGCAGCCGCGGUAAUACGUAGGUGGCAAGCGUUGUCCGGAAUUAUUGGGCGUAAAGCGCGCGCAGGCGGAUUGGUCAGUCUGUCUUAAAAGUUCGGGGCUUAACCCCGUGAUGGGAUGGAAACUGCCAAUCUAGAGUAUCGGAGAGGAAAGUGGAAUUCCUAGUGUAGCGGUGAAAUGCGUAGAUAUUAGGAAGAACACCAGUGGCGAAGGCGACUUUCUGGACGAAAACUGACGCUGAGGCGCGAAAGCCAGGGGAGCGAACGGGAUUAGAUACCCCGGUAGUCCUGGCCGUAAACGAUGGGUACUAGGUGUAGGAGGUAUCGACCCCUUCUGUGCCGGAGUUAACGCAAUAAGUACCCCGCCUGGGGAGUACGACCGCAAGGUUGAAACUCAAAGGAAUUGACGGGGGCCCGCACAAGCGGUGGAGUAUGUGGUUUAAUUCGACGCAACGCGAAGAACCUUACCAGGUCUUGACAUUGAKGACAGAACUAGAGAUAG